UACGAAGGGGGCUAGCGUUGUUCGGAAUUACUGGGCGUAAAGGGCGCGUAGGCGGUACUUCAAGUCAGGCGUGAAAGCCCCGGGCUUAACCUGGGAACUGCGUUUGAAACUGGGGAGCUAGAGUGUAGAAGAGGGGGGUGGAAUUCCAGGUGUAGCAGUGAAAUGCGUAGAGAUCUGGAGGAACACCGAUGGCGAAGGCAGCCCCCUGGGCUAACACUGACGCUCAUGCACGAAAGCGUGGGGAGCAAACAGG
rnacentral:rRNA from 1 species